rnacentral:rRNA from 1 species
UACAGAGGUCCCAAGCGUUGUUCGGAUUCACUGGGCGUAAAGGGUGCGUAGGCGGUCGGGUAAGUCUGAUGUGAAAUCUCACAGCUUAACUGUGAAACUGCAUUGGAUACUAUUCGGCUAGAGAGUUGGAGGGGGGACUGGAAUUCUUGGUGUAGCAGUGAAAUGCGUAGAUAUCUAAAGGAACACCAAUGGCGAAGGCAGCUUACUGGGUUAUUUCUGACACUGAGAUGCGAAAGCGUGGGGAGCGAACGGG